rnacentral:rRNA from 1 species
AUUGAACGCUGGCGGAAUGCUUUACACAUGCAAGUCGAACGGCAGCACGGACUUCGGUCUGGUGGCGAGUGGCGAACGGGUGAGUAAUGUAUCGGAACGUGCCCAGUCGUGGGGGAUAACGUAGUGAAAAUUACGCUAAUACCGCAUACGAUCUAUGGAUGAAAGCGGGGGAUCGCAAGACCUCGCGCGAUUGGAGCGGCCGAUAUCAGAUUAGGUAGUUGGUGGGGUAAAGGCCCACCAAGCCAACGAUCUGUAGCUGGUCUGAGAGGACGACCAGCCACACUGGAACUGAGACACGGUCCAGACUCCUACGGGAGGCAGCAGUGGGGAAUUUUGGACAAUGGGCGAAAGCCUGAUCCAGCCAUUCCGCGUGCAGAAUGAAGGCCCUCGGGUUGUAAACUGCUUUUGUACAGAACGAAGAGGUUUCUACUAAUACUAGGAGCUCAUGACGGUACUGUAAGAAUAAGCACCGGCUAACUACGUGCCAGCCGCCGCGGUAA